rnacentral:rRNA from 1 species
UACGGAGGGUGGCAAGCGUUAUCCGGAUUCACUGGGUUUAAAGGGUGCGUAGGUGGGCAAGUAAGUCAGUGGUGAAAUCUCCCGGGCUUAACCCGGAAACUGCCAUUGAUACUAUUUGUCUUGAAUACUGUGGAGGUCAGCGGAAUAUGUCAUGUAGCGGUGAAAUGCUUAGAUAUGACAUAGAACACCAAUUGCGAAGGCAGCUGGCUACACAAAUAUUGACACUGAGGCACGAAAGCGUGGGGAUCAAACAGG